AAUGCUUCUUCUCUCAUGGUCUCUCAAACCCUUACCCUUCGAGACCCCAUCGAUUCUCUCACACGACUACUCCCUCACUGCUGUCUCAUUCCCCUCCACCCAUAACCGCCAUCCCCUCCCCGCCCUCUCAAAACCCAAAGUCCUCUCUUUCUCCCCAUACCAAAAACGCUCAAAAUCAAGAAUCUCGGCCUCAGUUUCAGCUCCACUUGCAAACCCAGAAAUAAAAUCUCCCAAAAUCCAAAACCCAUCUCAAGAUUUUCUCUCCGAGUCGACUCGAACACUCACUACUCUCUUGGCCACGGCCCUAAUAGCCUCAAAAUUCUUGGCUGGCGGAAUCCUAAGCUUGGCCGUGCAUUCUUCGCAGCAAUGAAGGAUGUUCCUGCUACGUCGUUGAACACGCUAUUCACAGUUGUGGCGGCCGGAAUGGCGAAAUGGCUGGACAUUUACAUUGGGCUUCUAAUGGUUAGAGUUUUGCUGAGCUGUUUUCCCAAUACUCCCUGGGACAGGCAGCCGCUAUCAGUAAUUCGAGACCUAUUUCAAGAAUAUAAUCCCUCCAUUGUUUAUUGUUCUUUGAGUGCGAAUUUGGUUUCUAAGGUUGUGAUUUAUAUUUUAAUAGACUACUUAAUUUUCAUCAUUACUAUAAUUUUUAUUUAUUCACGAAGUAUUGGUAUAAACAAAAUCCUUUAGUUAGAUGUUCUGCUUUGCUGAUUUAUUUAAUAGACGUAAUGCUAGAAAUAUCUAAUUUACUUUUGCUUUAUACUACACGAGUUUGUGCCUCAAAGAUCAAAUGUUUAUCUUGUUUAUAGUAAUUUUUUUUGACUGAUUUAAAUUUGUGUUUUUCUCUUGAAUAUUGAAUCUUUUAUGGUAGUUGUGAAUUAUUAUUAUUUUUUACAGCGACGCUGAUUUAAUGGGUCAUUUAUCAAAAAAUUUAUUCCUUUUUUCAAAAGCCUUACAAGGAUAGAGGAUCUACCAAAGGCUAUUGGUAAAAGGAAUCCGUUAUCUUCUACACAGUAGUAUAUAUGAUGAUAUGUCUUGUUGUCAUUGCCCAAAAGUUCUUGCUUCAAGUUAACUUGAUUUGGGGGGAGCAGAGAAAAGUUGUGGAAUUGUGAGUUAUAUGUUCUGUGUGAGUUAUAUUAAAAAAAUGAAUAAGUAUAUAAGAUUAGUUCGAAACUUCAUCUUCCUCUAGGUAUAUUUUGUUCCAUGAAUGUGGUCAUCAAGGAAUUUUACACUGUUGAAUAGUUGCAGAUUAGAAAUUUUACCAUGACCAGUUAAUGUUUUGACCAUGACUAAUAUUCUUAUUUAUAAUUUUUUGGGUAAUGAACUUCUCUUUGACUCAUUUCCAUACAAGGAAAUCGAAAAUGGAAUUCUCUAGGAAGUUGAGGGAAAGGUAAAGGUCUAUACUUAUUUCAUUAGAUUUAGUUAUUGUUUCAUUGUUAUGUCCAUAGACUUGGUAAACAAUUUUCAAUUUGCUUUAUUUACUAAUUGCUUGCUUGUUUGGAUUAUACUAGGAGGUAUUGUAUACUCGUAUUAUUAUAUCUCCUUUGCAACAUUUUUACACCAUAAUUUUUGUAGUGGAACACAAUAGGUUGUCCAGGAAGUAGUUGAUGUAGACAUUGGUGCCUUAUGCUAAAGGAAUUUAUGAGGAAGAGGGUGUUGAUAAUGUGGCUGUCAAAGUCGUUGACAUUGUUGACACGUUCACGCUCCAAGUUAUUUUAUGCAUAAUGUGUAUUAUAUGACUGAAUUCUAUUUGCAGAAUUUAAUGUUUUUUAACCUGGUUAUUAAAUACAGGAGCAACCCCCUUUUGACAAGAAGCAAUUUGUUGCGUACAUGAAGAAGUAUAUCGAGCUGUUAACACCAAAGCUCAAUGCAGAGAAGCAAGCACAGUUGGAGAAGGGUAUUGAAGGGGCGACUAACUUUCUGCUCUCAAAGCUUAGUGACCUCCAAUUGUAAGUUUAACAUAGCGUUCUUUUAACAUGUUUGGUAAAUAGGUGAUAAUACCACUGAAAGUAUUGAGUAGAUGAUGACAAAAUCUUAAUUUAUUAUACUAAUCGUGAGGGCUCGUAUUGAUAGCUUCUACAUUGAAGUAUUUCCUUAGUUGGCUUUCUUUGAAACCUCUUUUAAGCAUCAAAUAAAGUGUUGUCAAAAAAUUAUCCACAUAGAUCCAAAAAAAAAUCUUUUAGUUUUAAAAUCUACUUUAGGUUUUCAAGAAGCAAUAUUAAAAGGUCUCUGUUUUGGCCAACCAUAUGCUAACACUUACAUAUUUCCAAAUAUAUAUUUAACAUUAUCUUGCAAUUACAUAGAGAGAUGCACACCUCCCAUUUGAGCAUCAUUUCUUUAUCAAUAGAAAAGGUUUGGAAAUCCACACACACACACACACAUAUAGUAAUUAUUUGUGGGCAAUAUGGUGUUCUUUUGGUUCUUGGAUCUUUAGUUAUGUAAAUUUUUGUUUUUUAUCUUUAAUUUUUUUAAUUAAUAAUAGCAUUCAUUGUAGGAGGAGAUUAAUGACGGUGGUCGUUACACGAAUGGUAAUCCUGUUCCAUUGGUGAUGAAGGGUGGUGGCUGGUUGUUUUUGAUCUACGAUGUAAUGGAUAGUGAUUUUGGAUCUUGAGGUGAAGGUAGGUAUUAAAUAGAUAGAGAAAAGGAGAGGGUAAAGCCUAAAAUGGGAACUUUAAUAAUUAUUUUUCGGGUGAUUUAUGCAUAUGUGGUAAACUGGAAAUGAUACCAUGAAUAUAUUUUUAAGAUUUCCUGGUUGCUUUCUAUUUAGCUAUUUUAGGAUUUAUCUAUUCCAUUCAUUUAACUUUAAUUUGAAUAUUGCAAAAAUAGAUCCAAGUCACCAGCAAGAACAGAAAGGGAGAGAGGAUAGGAUAUGCAUGUAUAUGCAAGUGUUUUCAUUUCAGGUUUAAGCCAAGAUCGUGGGAUACCUACUCCAAAUUGGGAUGUUUUUGCUGAUAUCGGUGCUGUUGGAAGGGUGACCAGAGCUCAUGUAGUUCCUAGAAUAGUAGAGCGGUUAACUUUUAGAGGCUUUAAAUGAAGAAGUUGAAUGUAAGUGAUUAAGUCCUUUCAUUUGGUUUGUUCUUCGAGAUAUUUAUUUUUAAAAUUUUUGAUUACACAAGAAUUAAUUGCUUUCCACACAGAAGACCAAAAUUGUGCGAACUAAAUUCUUUUAUGUUUUAUAGUUUUUUUACUCAGUUUUACAUGAAAACUGCUUGCCCUUUCUGUAUUUCUGGGCCUGUUAUAAAUCCAAUAUCGUAGUUUCACUUGAUAUUUUAAGUUCAAGAAUAUUACAUUAUGAGAUGAAAAUCCACAUGGAACAAAAUAAGCUUCACGCCUUUUCUAUUUCCUCAAAUGCAUUAAAAACUUGGUCAAUUAUCGAAUUCAAACAAACCAAAGCCUAUGCCUCAACGUCUUUAAAUAUUAUUAUGUAUUUAAGUUACAAAUCAAAUGAAUGGAAAUAUUCAAUUUAUGGGGAAAAAAUGAAGAGUCAUUUAGAUGUAGGGU
rnacentral:lncRNA from 1 species